rnacentral:rRNA from 1 species
CGCCAGACUCCUACGGGAGGCAGCAGUGGGGAAUAUUGCACAAUGGGGGAAACCCUGAUGCAGCAACGCCGCGUGGGUGAAGGAGCGUUUCGGCGCGUAAAGCCCUGUCAGCGGGGAAGAAGAAAGACGGUACCCGACCAAGAAGCUCCGGCUAACUACGUGCCAGCAGCCGCGGGAAUACGUAGGGAGCAAGCGUUAUCCGGAAUUAUUGGGUGUAAAGGGUGCGUAGACGGGACAGCAAGUUAGUUGUGAAAGCCCUCGGCUUAACUGAGGAACUGCAACUAAAACUAUUGUUCUUGAGUGCAGGAGAGGAAAGCGGAAUUCCUAGUGUAGCGGUGAAAUGCGUAGAUAUUAGGAGGAACACCAGUGGCGAGGGCGGCUUUCUGGACUGUAACUGACGUUGAGGCACGAACGUGUGGGGAGCAAACAG